UACAGAGGUCUCAAGCGUUGUUCGGAUUCAUUGGGCGUAAAGGGUGCGUAGGUGGCGCCAUAAGUCAGGUGUGAAAUCUCGGGGCUCAACCCCGAAACUGCACUUGAUACUGUGGUGCUGGAGUACUGGAGAGGAGAUUGGAAUUUACGGUGUAGCAGUGAAAUGCGUAGAUAUUCGCAAGAACACCAGUGGCGAAGGCGGCUCACUGGCCCGAUACUGACGCUGAGGCACGAAAGCGUGGGGAGCAAACAGG
rnacentral:rRNA from 1 species